CUGGAUCCGCAUGGAUUUCUCUUUCAGAGAUCUAAGAGCAUGGCCACAAUCUACUGAACUAGUUUAUUCCAAGUGGGAAGGACUCCCAUCUAUUCCACAUGUCACUACCACCAUGGCCCUCUCAAGGAAAAAGGGACAACUUGCUCAUUUCUGCCACAUGUACCCAAAGCAUUGGAAGGCACAACUGAUGGGCAGGACACCUGCUGCAGGCUGGCCUUCAGCCCUGUUCCAACGCACCCCACCCUGGGCAGUUCUCCUCUCUGGUGCCCCA